rnacentral:lncRNA from 1 species
GGGCCAGAGAAACUAUUUGAAGAGAUAAUAGCCAAAAAUUUCCUUAAUAUGGGAAAGGAAUCACUCACUCAAAUCCAGGAAGCAAAACAAGUACCAUAUAAAUUAAACCCAAAGAGGAACACCAUGGCCAAGUGGUUUAUAAGUGGUGGUUAGCAGAACAUGCAUUAGCAAAGAGAACCAAGGUGCAAACCUAGGCAUGCCUUUUGGGGAAGCACAGUGAGGAUUCUCUGGAAUGCUAUGCAUAGAUAGCUAACUCAAAUGCUAAUGAUUGUUAUGUGCCUAAAGGUCAGAGUAAAAGCUUAACCUUCUACCAGCUAAGUGGCUUUUAAAAUAAUAAAAGAACUUAUAAAAUAGUAAACAAACCCUAUAUCCUCCACCCAUAGCCCCUCCUCACUUGAUGUCAUCCUAGAGAGCACAAUAAAAGCAGUGUGGUUUCUUGAGGCAGUGCUCUUGGUCCCUGAGACCUUGAGUCCCCCGGUUCCCACCUUUAUUUAAGAUAAAUGUCUGUCUUGUUUUAUGUUAACUUUUUUCUUUAAGUUUCACAGCACCCAUUCUUCAGCCCCAUCCUGCUGAGCUGGUCUCAGCAGAAAACUACAGAAAAGAUGAGUGAAACCAAAAGCUGGCUCUCUGAAAAGAUCAACAAAAGAAACCUUCAGCCAGACUUAUCAAGAAAAAAAAGAGAGGACUCAAAUCAAUAAAAUUAGAAAUGAGAAAGAAGUUAAAAAGGACAUCACAGAAAUAUAAAGGAUAAGAGACUACUACAAACAACUACAUGACAAUAAAAUGGACAACCUAGAAGAAAUGGAUAAAUUCUUAAAAAGUACAACCUUCCGGAGUUCCCGUCGUGGCGCAAUGGUUAACGAAUCCGACUGGGAACCAUAAGGUUGCGGGUUCAAUCCCUGGCCUCAAUCAGUGGUUCAGGGAUCCCGAGCUGCCAUGAGCUAUGGCUUAAGCUGGCAGCUGUAGCUCUGACCCAACCCCUAGCCUGGAACUUCCAUGUGCCCUGGGUGUGGCCCUUAAAAAAAAAAAAAAGAAAAAAGCGAAAACAAAAAACUUCCAACAAACAAAAGUCCAGGAUCAGAUGGCUUCACACAAGAAUUCUAUCAAAAA